rnacentral:ncRNA from 1 species
UACCUGGUUGAUCCUGCCAGUAGUCAUAUGCUUGUCUCAAAGAUUAAGCCAUGCAAGUCUAAGUACGAGCUCUCGUACAGUGAAACUGCGAAUGGCUCAUUAAAUCAGUUAUGGUUCAUUUGAUCGUACAGUUUACUUGGAUAACUGUGGUAAUUCUAGAGCUAAUACAUGCGAGAAGCGCCGACCUCGCGGGAGGCGUGCAUUUAUCAGACCAAAAACCGGCCGCGUCUUCGGGCGCGUUCGCCUUGGUGACUCUGGAUAACUUUGCGGAUCGCACGGUCUAGCACCGGCGACGGAUCAUUCAAGUGUCUGCCCUAUCAACUUUCGUCGGUACGGUAUUUGCCUACCGAGGUUCUUACGGGUGACGGGGAAUCAGGGUUCGAUUCCGGAGAGGGAGCCUGAGAAACGGCUACCACAUCCAAGGAAGGCAGCAGGCGCGCAAAUUACCCAUUCCCGACGCGGGGAGGUAGUGACGAAAAAUAACAAUGCAGGACUCGUUCGAGGCCCUGUAAUUGGAAUGAGUACACUUUAAAAGCUUUAACGAGUAUCCAUUGGAGGGCAAGUCUGGUGCCAGCAGCCGCGGUAAUUCCAGCUCCAAAAGUAUAUAUUUAAGUUGUUGCGGUUAAAAAGCUCGUAGUUGGAUUUUGGGCGCAGCGGCCGGUCCGUCGCAAGGCGUGUACUGGACGUCCUGGCUUCCCUCCGGUUCUCCG